UGGGAGAGCAGCAUGAUCCAAAGCGAUGCCGUUUCUCGAAGUAUGCAAGCUGAGAAGCUCACGCUUCCUAUGCUAGGGAAAUUUGGGUCAACCAUGUCUAUUGUCAAGACUGAUAUAGGAGGCAGUAUCAUGUUUCUGGUGACACAUUGGUGAUUUUCUUAAGCAGAGGCUGGAGACAGAAUAUGCAUCUUAUCCUACGAAGUAGGAGCAACUGCAUGGCAUGGUGAAAGUAGAAGUUAGCACAAAGACUAGCAAAAGUUCUAGCAGUUGUAACAACGAUCUUCUCAGGCUAACAAGAUGUUGGUGAACCGGUCCUUGAAGCAGCAAUUGAAACUGCAUUAUUACAUUCUGCAGGAACUUACCUUCUAGGAUGCACGAGGAUGUCUUCACUGUCCUCAUCUAGAAUGGAGCUCAUCAAUGAUGCUGCCUGAGUGCUUCAGUUUCCACUUCAUCUGUUAGUAAAGGUAAAAGUACAAUUAAAAGAUUCUAAGGAACAAGCUGCAGCCACCAUGGUAGUAUUCAUUAAUUCUGGCUCCAUUUAUUUUACAUGAUGCUGUAAAGGGGUAUCGUUUUUUCAUGGAAACUAAUAAAAAUGACUUUAUCUAAAAGUUGACAAUACAUAGAGCAUGUGGCCAAAAGAUGCAUUGUUUAUUUUAAUUCUCUUAUUUAGAUGGUCCAUGAAAUUACUAAGUGUAAGCAAGAGGACAUGGCCUUUCCUACUGUUUUUGUUGAUUUUAAGUACACUCAUUGGCAGUCCACUUUGUUUAGCUGUUAGCUGGCUUUGAAGCUAAAUUUCUAACCAGUGCAUUUAGCUAAACUUUGGCUUUGAAGCUAAACUUCUGACAGCACACAUUAGCUUGUUUCUAUAUGCAAUUGUGUCAUGUUUAAUCAUGUUGCCAAUCAUACGAGCCUAAAAAAGGAUAGCAUUCCACUUGUCAUUUUGAAAUUGCAUGCUGGCAAAAUGGACUUAAUCUAUGAUGAUCGAUUGGGGUAUAUGGAUGAUUGCAAAAAAAACAAUAUUCACGCUGUAGUAUCUCUCUUCCCAAAAGGUUCCUUCCCUGGUCCAUUGGGUUAACAACAGAAUGUUUAUUCAUCAAUUCACUGCUAAUACUAAAUACAUGUUCUCAUAGCUUCGUUUUUUCUGACCCUGCAAUAGCAGCAUGACAACCUUCUAUUUUUUAUUCGGAAUUUGGGAUACGAGAAUCAUCCUUACAUGCACAUGGAUGGAUCAUUCUUCAGAUUGGCACAUGUAUAUAUUAAGAUGGCAUCUCUAAAUUCUUAGUACCUAAUCUGAAUGAAGGACGAGUAUACCGGUGAUUACUUUGCUGCCUAGCAUAGCACCUUUCGGUGUUAGUAGGAUUUACAGUUUGAUGAACAAACUCAGUCUAAACUACAUAUUAGAUUGGCUGGAUCAUAGCUGACAGCAUUUGUGCUUUAGUUUUCAGUGUAGUACUUUUGACAGGAUUGGAUGCAGUUUCUCAUGAUAUUUUUCCUCCCUGCUAAUUCCUAUGUUUGUUGCAGAGUUUGAAAUGUAUUGUGAGAUACACCCCUUGAGAGGGACCCGUUGUAUUGUUUCAGAAAAUAGAAGCAGUUAAUCAUAUUUUUGACAUAUAUACCACAUCUUUAAGAUAUCAUGUUAUAACAAAACUUUUGACAUGUAAUAAAUAGACUAGCAAUUAUUUAGCUAAAAUUUGAGUAUUUGACAUCUGUAGCUAUUGGAGGGAACAUACCUUCGUUUUUAGUGUGAUAUUUUCUCUAUUAUUGUUGUCUAAUGCCAUCAACCAUCAUAUCGUGCCAAUGGUUAAUGAGAUGGUGUUUUUUGUUUCAAUUGUGAGGACA